rnacentral:rRNA from 1 species
GAUGAACGCUGGCGGCGUGCCUAAUACAUGCAAGUCGAGCGAACAGACGAGGAGCUUGCUCCUUCGACGUUAGCGGCGGACGGGUGAGUAACACGUAGGUAACCUACCUAUAAGACUGGGAUAACUUCGGGAAACCGGAGCUAAUACCGGAUAAUAUUUCGAACCGCAUGGUUCGAUAGUGAAAGAUGGCUUUGCUAUCACUUAUAGAUGGACCUGCGCCGUAUUAGCUAGUUGGUAAGGUAACGGCUUACCAAGGCAACGAUACGUAGCCGACCUGAGAGGGUGAUCGGCCACACUGGAACUGAGGCACGGUCCAGACUCCUACGGGAGGCAGCAGUAGGGAAUCUUCCGCAAUGGGCGAAAGCCUGACGGAGCAACGCCGCGUGAGUGAUGAAGGUCUUCGGAUCGUAAAACUCUGUUAUUAGGGAAGAACAAACGUGUAAGUAACUGUGCACGUCUGACGGUACCUAAUCAGAAAGCUACGGCUAACUACGUG